rnacentral:lncRNA from 1 species
AAGAAAUUAUGUAUCGGGUCAGAGAGCUUUCAGAAAUAGAAUUUGGAACAAAAGAGUCAAUACAUGAAGCAUCCAUAAAGUAAAAAGUUUGAUGAGAUGACUGCUGAGGAACGUUUCCUGAUGUGGGAUUGCAGAGUCCUGCUCCCUGAAUGUUUUGAGCAAAUGGUAAGAGGGAUCAAAAUAUGCUUCAGUACUCAGGAUGUAAAGUUGAAAACCCAAUGAAUAUAAGACUGGUGUUUGAAGGAAGAAAAUCAAAUUCCUAGCAGAAGAAAGACCAGCAAUACUGUAUCAUAG